rnacentral:rRNA from 1 species
GACGUAGGGUGCAAGCGUUGUCCGGAUUUAUUGGGCGUAAAGAGCUCGUAGGCGGCUUGUUGCGUCGACUGUGAAAACCCGCGGCUUAACCGCGGGCUUGCAGUUGAUACGGGCAGGCUAGAGUUCGGUAGGGGAGACUGGAAUUCCUGGUGUAGCGGUGAAAUGCGCAGAUAUCAGGAGGAACGACCGGUGGCGAAGGCGGGUCUCUGGGCCGAUACUGACGCUGAGGAGCGAAAGCGUGGGGAGCGAACAGG